rnacentral:rRNA from 1 species
GACGAACGCUGGCGGCGUGCCUAAUACAUGCAAGUCGAACGCAGUGGGGACGGGUUAUUAACACGUGGGUAACCUCCCAUCAGAGGGGAGAACAGUUGGAAACAGGUGCUAAACCGAUACGGAUUGAUGGACUCGCGGGGCAUUAGCUAGUUGGUGAGGUAAAGGCCCACCAAGGCUACGAUGCCUAGCCGGCCUGAGAGGAUGAUCAGCCAAACUGGGACUGAGACACGGCCCAGACUCCUACGGGAGGCAGCAGUGGGGAAUCUUCGGCAAUGGGCGAAAGUCUGAUCGAGCAACGCCGCGUGAGUGAAGAAGGUUUUCGGGUCGUAAAGCUCUGUUGUUGGAGAGGCGUUAUCUACCCAGAAAGCCACGGCUAACUACGUGCCAGCAGCCGCGGUAAUUC